rnacentral:rRNA from 1 species
AGAGUUUGAUCAUGGCUCAGGACGAACGCUGGCGGCGUGCUUAACACAUGCAAGUCGAACGGUGAACUGCUUCGGUGGGGGAUCAGUGGCGAACGGGUGAGUAACACGUGGGCAACCUGCCUCAGCUCUGGGAUAACUCCAAGAAAUUGGGGCUAAUACUGGAUAUGACCGCUGACCGCAUGGUCUGGUGGUGGAAAGAUUUAUCGGCUGGGGAUGGGCCCGCGGCCUAUCAGCUUGUUGGUGGGGUAGUGGCCUACCAAGGCGACGACGGGUAGCCGGCCUGAGAGGGUGACCGGCCACACUGGGACUGAGACACGGCCCAGACUCCUACGGGAGGCAGCAGUGGGGAAUAUUGCGCAAUGGGCGAAAGCCUGACGCAGCGACGCCGCGUGGGGGAUGACGGCCUUCGGGUUGUAAACCUCUUUCAGCAGGGACGAAGCGAAAGUGACGGUACCUGCAGAAGAAGCACCGGCCAACUACGUGCCAGCAGCCGCGGUAAUACGUAGGGUGCAAGCGUUGUCCGGAAUUAUUGGGCGUAAAGAGCUCGUAGGCGGUUUGUUGCGUCGGCUGUGAAAACCUGAGGCUCAACCUCAGGCCUGCAGUCGAUACGAGCAGACUAGAGUGUUGCAGGGGAGACUGGAAUUCCUGGUGUAGCGGUGAAAUGCGCAGAUAUCAGGAGGAACACCGGUGGCGAAGGCGGGUCUCUGGGCAACCUGACGCUGAGGAGCGAAAGCGUGGGGAGCGAACAGGAUUAGAUACCCNNGUAGUCC